GCUUGAGCCUCUACUAAAAGACAUUGCUAUCUUGGAAAAUGAAGGCAUCUUUAUUUCCAGUAUUGGGAAAAAAGUGAAAGCCAUUUAAUUUGCCUACAUUUUCAGCUUUAGAUUUUGGCAAAAUAUUGUAACCGACAAGUUGACCCCAUUCAUUUCUACUAAACUGGCUUGUGUAUUUUAUAACAUAUUCAUUAUGUCUCUAAUAAUCUCCCAAUUUAAAAUGUGUUGCAGAUAAAUGAGAUGCACCGCGGUUCCACUUGAGUCAACAUUUAUGUUCCAGCUGGACAGGUACACGCCAAAGCUUCUGGAGCUGUUCAAUGCAAAGGGAGGAGCAGUUGGUCAGUGCAUUAAAGCAUUGUUGAAGGCACUGAUUCAGGACCCAUGUGCUACUGUCUGUAAAAAGAGAGAGGUGACCUUGAGAUGCCUCAUUGAAUAUAUGGGAGAACGUGGAGAGGAGCUAAUCUCUGAGCAUGAGAGGUUGAAGUGCAACAGAGGCGCGUGAUGCACAGCAUCAAACUAUACGUUGCCCACGAGCCAGAUGCAGUUGGGAUCAUCAUCGAGGGCAUGCCAGUGUUGGCUGAUGUGGGCAAUGUUGCCAGAGCCUGCUGCCUCCUUCUUGGACUGACCUAUGCUCUAAAUCUGCAAUAUCCUGCAAAACUUGCCAAAACCUUUGAAGUCUUUCAGAGACUCUUCAUGGGACUGGACACCCUUCAGCCGAAGCCAUCUUCAAGGUACAUCAGCCUAAAAAACAAACUGGCCUAGAGCUGUUGGCUCAGCUGAUGGCUGGCAAAAGCUGUUGGUCAUUUGUGAUCAACGCUGAUUCACAAUGUUUCUGAGCUGUGAGUGCGAUCUUGUAAAUGUAUGUGUGGUUUUAUGGACUGAUUAAGAGCGAUCCUGCAUUCUGUAAAGUUACUUUAAGAAAGUCACCCCAACUUCUCUUCAAUCUGACAUCAGAUUCUUGGCAUUCUCAAACAUUUUAUCAAAGUAACAGUUUUUAGAGUAUGCACUUUUACAUGUUCCAACAUCAACCAGAGAGGAAAGACUUCAGGAGUUCAGUGAAGACAUGCACAUAUUUUUUGUUUUAAACCAGGAUGUUAUUAAUCGUGUCCUUUUUUUUAUGAGCCUUUAAAAAUAGAAAAACUGUUUAAAAGCUCAGAUAAUACUUUUACAACUUGUAAGCAGCACUUUAAAAUAAAGUUACCUUACCCAGGUUACCCAUCACCUUACGUUUGCCUAAGUGUGAAUAUAAAUACAAAUGUUAUUAAGAUUACCUUUGUCAUGUUAUGUUUUUAUUGAAGAAAUCAGAAAAAUUACAAAUGCCUUUGUUCUGUUUUAAAACCAAACAUUAGUUAAGACAUGGCAAAUAUUGUUCUUAAAAGCCAGGAUUUUGUCAACUGUGUCUGUUUUUAUAGGAGCCUUAACAAACAGAAAAUACUGUUUAAGUAUAUGUUCUAACUUUUUGUAGGUCAUUAGCAGCACUUACCUUAAGAGUAACUUUAAGUUGUUAACACAAAUGUUAAGACUUUCUCCUGUGUCAGUGUUACGUUAAUGUUAUGUGUUGUGCUUCUAAACAUGUUACUGUUUUAUGAAAAACGUUUGAAAGCACUUUCUGCUGCUUAUGUUAAUAAAAUAAAAUGUCCAUAACAUUCUCUUUUUUAAAUCUAUUAGUUUAAUCUGCAAUGUUUCAAUGCUAUCAAAUAUUCAAAGGGUUGGCUUGA